GAUGAACGCUGGCGGCGUGCCUAACACAUGCAAGUCGAACGGACAGGCCCUGCUUUUGCGGGUCGCUCGAGUGGCGAACGGGUGAGUAUCACGCGUGUAAACCCCCCUUGUCUGUGGGAUAACUUCAGGAAAAUCGGGCUAAUACCGGGUAGAAGCUCUUGAUGCACGGGGGGGGUUGGAAAGUUGCGGCUUUUGGGGAUGGACUCGCGGCUUCCCCGCUUGUUGGGGGGGUAGUGGCUUACCAAGUUUUCGACGGGUAGCCCGCCUGAGAGGGUGACCGGCCACCAUGGUACUGAGGUACGCCCCAGUCUCCUACGGGAGGCAGCAGUGGAGAAUAUUGCGCAAUGGGCGCGCGCCUGAUACGGCGGCGCCGCGUGCGGGAUGCCGUCCUACGAGGGAAAAACCGCUUUCUCAGGUGCCGAAGCGGGCGUGACGGUAACGAGUAAGAAAGCACCGGCUAACUACGUG
rnacentral:rRNA from 1 species